GGUUCCGUGGUUUAGUGGUUAUCACGUCUGCCUCACACGCAGAAGGUCCCCAGUUCGACCCUGGGCGAAACCA